rnacentral:rRNA from 1 species
AUUGAACGCUGGCGGAAUGCUUUACACAUGCAAGUCGAACGGCAGCACGGGGGCAACCCUGGUGGCGAGUGGCGAACGGGUGAGUAAUACAUCGGAACGUGCCCGGUCGUGGGGGAUAACGUAGCGAAAGUUACGCUAAUACCGCAUACGAUCUGAGGAUGAAAGCGGGGGACCUUCGGGCCUCGCGCGAUCGGAGCGGCCGAUGUCAGAUUAGGUAGUUGGUGGGGUAAAGGCCUACCAAGCCGACGAUCUGUAGCUGGUCUGAGAGGACGACCGGCCACACUGGGACUGAGACACGGCCCAGACUCCUACGGGAGGCAGCAGUGGGGAAUUUUGGACAAUGGGCGCAAGCCUGAUCCAGCCAUUCCGCGUGCAGGACGAAGGCCUUCGGGUUGUAAACUGCUUUUGUAUGGAACGAAAAGGCUCUGGCUAAUACCUGGGGCUCAUGACGGUACCGUAAGAAUAAGCACCGGCUAACUACGU